rnacentral:rRNA from 1 species
AUUGAACGCUGGCGGCAGGCCUAACACAUGCAAGUCGAGCGAGCGGCGGACGGGUGAGUAACAUCGCGGAAACUGCCUGAUGGAGGGGGCUAACUACUGGAAACGGUAGCUAAUACCGCAUACCAUCAGAUGUGCCCAGAUGGGAUAAGCUGGAAGGUGGGGUAACGGCUCCCCUAGGCGACGAUCCCUACCUGGACUGCGGGGAUGACCAGCCAAACUGGAACUGAGACAGGGUCCAGACUCCUACGGGAGGCAGCAGGGGGGAAUAUUGGACAAUGGGCGCAAGCCUGAUGCAGCCAUGCCGCGUGUGGGAAGAAGGCCUUCGGGUUGUAAAGCACUUUCAGCGGGGAGGCGUUACCCGCAGAAGAAGCACCGGCUAACUCCGUGCCAGCAGCCGCGGUAAUUC